rnacentral:lncRNA from 1 species
CCGAUCUCUCUUUCGUCUCCCUUCUCUAUAUCUCUCAGUGUAUUUCUGUGUAGGGGUUUUGAAGAAGAAGGUUUUUGUGUUUUAGUAAGGAUAAAAAAUGGAAUAUGCUGGUUUCUCUCUCUGUGUCUGUGGCGAAGAAGAAAACCAAAAGAUGGAGAACUCCUUCCUUUUCCUCCUGUUUUCCUUUGUUCCUUUCACGGUGUAUGUAGUCUUAAGAGUGUGAGAGUGAUGAUGGAUAAUUGAUGAGUGCAAAUCCUGAGGUUUCUGUGAGUGGGUGUAACGGAUGAGAGUAUGGGUGUGUCGAUGAAGAUCAGUGGAGAAGAAUGAUUGGUGUGUAGAAAAGAAGAGAGCUCGUGUAUUGCUCUCUUCUGUGAAUGAAGAAGAAGACCCCCCUUCUGUGUUGUGUCUAUUGUAUAUAUGGAAUCCGGUGGGGUCUGUGCUAAAUAAUGAAUAUUGUUAUUUCUGUGGUGGGUUUCACGGGUAAGGGGUAGGGGGUAGGGUAGGUAGGGUAGAGUGAUGGGGGCAUGGGGUAGUGAUGUGUUGUCCAAAAUUGAUAGGAGGAGUGGUUAAUUUUGUUACAAAAGAAUAAUUGGGGAUUAGGUUUGUUAGUGGGUUUGUUAUUUUUGUAUUUUUAUGGGAUAUAAUCAUACGGGUGAGGGCACGUUGUAAGACAGGGAUAAAAAUAUGUAACUCGGGUCUUCGGGAGGGACAAAAAUUAGGUGUCUACAGCUGAGGCGGAAAAAAAGAUAUCAAAUUUCUACCAAGAUAACUGGAAGUUCCAACUAAUCAGAAGCCUAAUAAACCUAAAAAAAGGAUAAAGGCCCAACAGAAAUUACUUAUUUUUCGAGACCCCAUUAUAAGUUCUAUCCUUAGAUGUUCUGAUCGCCAAGUCAUACUUUACCCAAUUGCAUUUUAUUGAAAUUGAGAUAAUACCCCAUAGAAAUUUGACUUUACUUUUUUGUUUCCGAAGUAACUCUCAUCAACUAGCGCUAGUUUGAGGUGAACUAGCACUAGUUUGAUGUCAACCUUUAGGAGUAAUUCAUCAAAUUGGUUAAAUCUAAAAUAAUAGCAUACUCUUUAUUUAAUACGAUCCCACUAUACAUAUCGAUAUACAUAGAGAUUAACCGACUAUAUUUCAGCCAUUCAGUGAUCUUGAUCUAUUUGAAAAUUUCUAGAAUGGAUAUAUCCAUAUAUCAUGUUUCUGCAGGCAUAAGAGUUUUUUCCUUUAUGUUUGGUAGAAAUCACAUAUUAUACUAUAUUUUAAUAAAUAGAUAUCCGUGUUAUGAUACAAGUCAACGUUUUCAAAAAAAAAAAUGAAUGAGAUUGGGUCCCAGCGGAUCUAAACAAUCUUAUUUUUUUGAACAUGAAUAAAUAAAGAAGCCAUUGCAAUUGCCGGAAAGACUAGGCCUACUAACGGCACAAAAAUAGAUGGAAGGUUCAAAUUUGUCAUAGAAGGGGUACCUCGAUUUACUAUAUUGUAUCUGUUAUUAUGUUAUUAUAUAAAUAAAGAUAUCUUGUAAUAAUUAAAUAAUUAUAAUUAAAUUAAGAAUUUGAAUUCUAAUUAGAUAAUAUUUAUUAUUAAUAGAAUUUGAAGAGUUUGAAAUUCUUAGUAUAGAUCGAAGUAUCUAUAUAUCUAAAUUUAAUUGAGUACGUAUAAUAAGAAUAAGUGCAAAGAAUGUAGAACUAAAUAUAUGGACUUAUUCAUCUAUUACAUGAGAAAGAUAUGUAUCAUAAUAAACUUUAUUAUUGUUCUUCAUUUCUUUGUCUUUUGUUCUUGUCUACUAAUUUUCUAAAAAUAGAUAAAGAGGUUAUCGAAAGAUUCGUUCGAAUCCGACCCAACAUGAAUUUUUAGCUAAAAUGAUUUUUAGGGAGAUAGAGAAAGAUACAAAACUCUAUUAUCUAUAUUUCAAUUUCAAAUUAUAUACCUAAGACAAAAAGAAAUUUAUUUUAUUUUCCUAAUUUCACAAAAGGAAGGACUCACUCUUGGUGAUAAAGGCUUCUUGAUUUGUAAUCAGGAAUAUAGGUCAAAAAAGAGUUAUCCUCAAAUGUAGUUUUUAUUCUUUCUACAAUUAGAUCUUUUAUCACCAAAGAAAGGGUCAUUAUUAUCUUAUUUACUAUUAUCUUAUUUACUUUGAUUCCGAUAAACUAACUACUUUUUUGCUACAAAUAUAAAUAAAAUAAAUAAUGGCCUUAGUGCUCUACUUGAUUUUGCUUGACUUUUGAUUCAAAGAAAAAAAGGCGUAGAGCUUAAAUAACUCACUCAGAACACUUUUUAAAAGAUUACGUGGUACAAUUAGGUCGAAUAAACCCUUCUGGAAUAAGUAUUCAGCUACUUGUGAACCUUCGGGUACUGUUUUAUUCAAUGUUUGUUCAAUUACUCUUUUACCUGCAAAUGCAAUGUAGGCAUUGGGUUCGGCAAUAAUGAUAUCCCCCAACAUACCAAAACUAGCUGUCACUCCACCAGUUGUCGGAGAUGUAAGGAUUGAUACAUAAAAUAAUUUUUUAUUUAAUAAAUUUAAUUGGCAGCAUGUUCAAUUAAAUGGGUGAUUUUUUCUUCGACUACGGAUCCCAGACUACCCCCAUAAACUAAAAAUCCAUAACCCCAAUUGCUACGUGAAUGCCGUUUAGUUGGCCUAUGCCUGUUUGAAUAGCCUCGAUUAAUUCUGUCUUUCUUUGAUAAGAAUCAAUACGAUCUUUAUAAGGCUCCUCUUCCGAAUGAAAUUCAAUGGGAUCCAAAGAGACGAUGUCUUCAUCCAUAGGAUCCCAAGUACCCGGAUCGACCAAAAGUUCAAUUCUAUCCGAACUACUCAUUUUCAAAUGAUAUCCACAUUGUUCACAAAUAUUCAUUUUUGAUUUUAAAAAUUUCUUAUAAUUUAAUCCAUAACAAUUCUCGCAUUGAACCCACAAAUGCCUGUACUUGUUAGUUACCUCGAGAUCAUUAGAACUUUCUUUUAUAGUUAAAUCACUGCCCUUAGAACUUUCUGUUAUAGUUAAAUCACUGCCCUUUAUACUAGUUUGUAUACUGGAACCCUCGUUUUCACUACUAUUUUUACUUUCACCACCUCAAACGGCACUAUAAAUAUAACUGACACUGUAAUUCUCACUACCACUUAUAAUGGAAGUAUCUAUACAGAUUUAAGAUUGAAGAUAAUUAUCAAUGCAACUAUUAAUGUGAUUAUUCCAACUAUAUUGAGUAUCAUACAUGUAAGAAUUGUAGUAGGGAUCUUCGCCCCUAAAUCCAUUAUUCAGAUAACUCGAGUUUCGAUAACUAUAAAAAGAAAUUUCUAGUUCACUAAGAAAAGAAUGAUCGUUGUCAAUCUCAAAAAUCUGAUUUUCAAUAUCAAAAUAGAUGGAAUAACUGUCUCCAUUCCUAUCACUAACUACAAAAGUGUCAUCAGAGAUGAAAUUUCGAAUGUCUUUAACGCCGAAUAAAUAAUCAAUAUUACCGCAACUAGGAAUGUUUUUUACUUUUCGAUUUGGAUCUUCACUGGUAUUUUCAAUAGGAUCAAGACUACCCAUUGAUUUAUUUAGCCCACACCUGCGUUCGAACUCCUUCGUAAACAACAUCGAAUUAAAUCACUAUCUUUUCAUCGAGUUUCCGUAGAGUUUUCUUGCCCCCUAUUUGCAUGAAAAUACAAUAGAUGAAUAGUCAUUUUCUAUAAAAUUAUUUAUUUGAAUAUCUUAUUUCCUAUCAGACUAAGCAUAGAAAUCUAAUCACUAGGAUUAUUAGUGAGUAUCGAAAAAAAGUUCUGAAUCUGGGGGAACACUUCACUAUAUAUUAAUAUGUCGGAACCCCCUUUUAUUAUUACAAAUAAUAUAAAUUUAUUGUUAAAAUUAUUAAAAAUAAUAUAAAUAUAAUAAUAUAAUUUUUUAUAAAGGGCGGCUUCUCCUAUAUCGUGUCAAAUUCGCAUUCAAGAUUUUCUUCCCUAAAAUAUUUUCCUAAUUAUCAACAAUUAAAUCAUCCUGCUUCCUGAUUUUUUUCUUCCAUUAAUACUUAAAUCACCUUCCUUCCUGAUUUUUUCUCCUCCAUUACUGCAUGCAACUUUUUUUUUUCCCUCCUAAAAUCUCUCCCAUUUUUUUUAAAAAAAAUCUAUUGAUACAUAUAUAAAUUUAUUUAGUUAUUCAUACAUGUUUAUUUUUUUUAAUGGUGAUUCAUAUGAAUGAUAAAUAUGAUAUCAUUAUAUGGGUAUUAUGGUGAUUCAUACGAUAGAUAUAUUUUGNNNNNNNNNNNNNNNNNNNNNNNNNNNNNNNNNNNNNNNNNNNNNNNNNNNNNNNNNNNNNNNNNNNNNNNNNNNNNNNNNNNNNNNNNNNNNNNNNNNNNNNNNNNNNNNNNNNNNNNNNNNNNNCAGUGUAGUCAGUGUAGGAAACAAAAGUAAUAAUAUUAAAAAAAAGACUAAAAGCAUAAUUGAAACAUAAUUAAAAUUAAAUCUAAAAAAAACAGACUAAAAUUAAAGAGGAAAAAAGAGAAAAAAGACCAAAAAAAAACAUAUUUUUUAUAAUUAAAGACGGAAAAAAAAAACAUAAUUAAAAUGCCUAAAUUAAAUCUAAAAAAAAAGAAAAAUUAGAUAUCUUUCCUUAAAUUAAAGAAUACAAUGAAUAAAAGAGAAUCUAUUAUUUUCUUAAAUAAAUAUCUUGUUAGUUUCAAAUGUAUCACUUUUUUAUAUGUAUCACCAUAUAACAUAUGUAUCACCAUUUUAAAAAACUGGGAUAAAAUGUAAUUAAUAAAAUAGUCAGAAUUUUAUGUAAUAUCACUUAAAGAUUCAGGGAUUUAUGUAAGUUAUCCUUUAUUUAAUAAGAGAAAAAUGUAUUUUUACGUCUGGGAAGGGGGAGAGGGGGGAGGGGGUCGCUUUGCAGGCCCAAUCACACGGCCCCAGCUAUGCCUUGCGGGCCAAAUCGCGCAGCAUCAGUCGUGCCUCGCUCGUGCUCGUCCAAUCGCUCACCCUGGACAGCGCCUCAUUAAAAUACCCAUAACUUUUUCCUUCGGACUCGAAUUGACGAAUAGCCAGUUGCUUUGGAAAGAAGGCUCAAAGACCUUUAAUUUAGUAUAUAGUAAGCCACUUAACUUAUUAUAUUCUAGGAGUAAUGGUCGUUGAAAGUUGACCCAAGUAAGAAUUUCUACUAAAACUCAAUCGAUAGGAAAGUUCGCAACUCAACUUUGAGCUAGGAGAUUUCUAUGACCUCAAUCCGACUACAAAGAUGUCCCCUCCCUAAGGAAUUGAUAAGAAGUUAAUAUUGAUACUUAUAUCAAAAUAGAAAUCAUUAAAUUUGGGUCUAUACUUGUAUGAAGGACGGUUCAAAUUUUAGCCCGAACAUGUAGGGUGUUACAGUAUCAUUAACACAAAAAAGCAUUUUGAUACGUCAUUUUUGUUAUAUUUUCACGAGACAUUCAUUCCAAUACAUAAUUCUUAUGUAUCAAUAACACAGGUCUUAUCCGAUACAUAAAUCGUAUGUAUCAGUAACGCGAAAAAGCACUCUGAUAUAUAAUUUUUGUCAUACUUUCAAACAUAUACAUCAUUACAGCGUAUCUAAUUUGAAUAAACCUCAAGUAUCUCGAUUUCGUCAUCGUUAUCAUUAGUCGUAGAUCUAGCAACAACGAAUGAAGAGAGAAAAAGUUUUUAAAAAAUAUAAUUUAGAGACAAAAAUACUAUAACAAAGGAUAGAUCGAGACAAAAUUAGCAAUAGAAAAUUAUUUGGAUGACGAUGAAAAGUUAAAAAAAGAAGAAGCUAAAUACGAACUAUGAAAGGAUAAAAUGUAAAAAAUAUAGAAUUGAAGAAAAAUUAUCCGAAUAAAACUUUGUUGUUUAAUAAAAGCAAGAAAAAAAUUGAAUCCUUAAAUACAUAUUUGAAUUGUAUUAAAAAAAAAUUAUGUAUUAACCUCUUGAUUUAUGAAACUUUUUUUUGAGAAUUCUUAUUUUCUUAAAAACAUAAAAACUAUAAAAUUUAAGGACUAAUGAUAAAUUAGAUCAAGAAAUUUUUAGAAUAUUGAGCGUUCAAUAUUUUUAAAAAUUAUAUCAAGUUCUCUAGUGUGUAAAUAAAGUGCCCUUGCAAUACCCAAGGGACUAAAACACAAACAUCACAACUUAAUAAUUAUUUUUACUGUUGUUUUUUAGUUGUAAUGUUUUAUUUCAUCGAAAUUCAAUUUAACUAAUUUUUAAAGUUAAAUUAUAUUAGAUUAAUUCAAUACUUUUAAAUUAAAAUUUACAUAGUUAAAAAUUAUAUAAAAAAUUAUAUAAAUUACAAUUUAUUCAUAAAUACAUUUUAAAAUGUUAAUCAAAAUUUGUAUUAUUAGACUUUAAAAAAAAAAAAAAAAAAAAAAACUAUGUCAAUUGAAAAGUAAUGGAGGGAGUUAUUGACAAUGACAGCUGAGUACUACUCUUACACCUCCUUAUUAAAUUUAGUAAUUAUGAGGCGGUUGUGAAAAGAAUCCGUUGGAUUUGGAAUGAUAAUAUUGGUAACUAACGGAUCUGACCCGACCCAUUUAAUUUUAUUGUGCAAAAAUUAUUUCUCACAGAGAAAAAUCGAGUCUUUGUUGUGUAAAAAUUGUUGCUCAGUGAGAAAAAUUCACUUUUUUUGUGCAGAAAUUGUUGUUUACAUAGAAAAAUGGUGUCUUUUUGAUAUACAAAAGUGCAAAAUCAAUUGUGAAAUUGUGAAAAAAUUAACACAUAAGCAACUACGCUACUGAAAUUGUAUGUACACAGUAAAAAACAGCAACUACAAAAAGAUUAACACGUAUGCAACUACGCUAGUGAAUUGUAUGUACAUGAAAAAAUCAAUAACAACAAAAAGAUUAACGCGUAAGCAACUACGCUAGUGAAAUUGUAUGUGCACGAAAAAAAUCAGCAACUACAAAAAGAUUAACGAAUAAAAAACUACACUACUGAAAUUAUAUGUGCACGAAAAAAAUCAGCAACUAGAAAAAAAUUAACGCGUAAGCAACUACGCUAGUGAAUUGUUUGUACACAAAAAAAAUCGGCAACUACAAAAAAAUUGGUAACUACAAAAAGAUUAACGCAUAUGCAACUACACUAGUGAAUUGUAUGUACACGAAAAAAAUAAACAACUGCAAAAAGAUUGAUGCGUAAGCCAAUACGCUAGUGAAUUGUAUGUACACGAAAAAAUUAGCAACUACAAAAAGAUUAACGCAUAUACAACUAUGCUAGUAAAUUGUAUCUACACAAGAAAUCAGCUACUAAAAAAGAUUAAUGCGUAAGCAACUAUGCUAGUAAAUUGUAUGUACAUGAAAAAAAUCAACAUCUACAAAAAGAUUAACGAGUAAGCAACUUCGAUAGUGAAUUGUAUGUCCAUGAAAAAAAUCAGCAACUACAAAAAGAUUAACACGUAUGCAAUUACGCUAGCGAAUUAUAUGUACAAGAAAAAAAAUCAGCAACUACAAAAAGAUUAACGUAUAAGCAACUAUGCAAGUGAGUUGUAUGUCCAUGAAAAAAAUCAGCAACUACAAAAAGAUUAACACGUAAGCAGCUACGCUAGUGAAUGGAAUGUACACGAAAAAAAUCAGCAACUACAAAAAGAUUAACACGUAAGCAACUACGCUAAUGAAAUUGUAUGUAUACUCAAAAUUCAACAACUACAAAAAGAUUAACACGUAAGCAACUACGUUAGUGAAAUUGUAUGUACACGAAAAAAAUGAGCAACUACAAAAAAAAGUUAACACAUUUGAGAACAAGAGGAUCUCUAUCUCAAAAUGUCUGUAAACUCACUACAGAACUUGUUAAGCAUAUGCCAAUUGUUUGAUAUUUGGAUGUGGUUGCAUACAAAAAGAUGAAGAGAGUUAAGUUAGUCUUAGCAUUAUAAUGAUAACAUGGUAAGAACAACUCCUGAGUUGACCCAAAAAAACCACCAACCAUUGUUGAAAAUGUCACAAUCUCUGGCUUCAUCAUAUCUGGAACUUUAAACCGUAUAAAAGCACCCUUGCUAUAAGGGGUGGCUCAGGGUGAAACAAGUAAAUUCGUUUCAGGACUCCAAAAUUUUGACGCCUAAAAAACUUUUAAUUAUUAAGUUUAUAAUUUUCUUUUCUUUUCGACGUCUUGAAUAUAGUUUUAAAAAAUGUACAAAAUCAAUAUAUAAAUAAAAUAACUAUCAUCAUUUAAUAGAAAUAUUUUAAAACUUUGAACUAAACUAAUCAAAUCUCUAAAGUAAUAAAUAAUAAUUUUACAAUAAUACCCAAGGUAAAUGUAUUGAAACACAUGGUUAACAUCUUUUUAACUUGAAUCAAUCCUUGCUGUUAUAAAUAAUAAUAUUACUAUGUGAAAUAUCAUAGUAUACUAAAACACAACAAUUAUGAAAAAACAAAAAAAAGGUCAUAUGAAUUUUUAAUUAUUACGUAUAUGCAUAUGUAUAUUUUAACACUUUAAAUUAAAAUUUAGUUUUAAGUUACUAAUUUUAUUGAGACGCCUCACUUGUUAACAUGCUGCAACAUACAAAAUAGUCGCAUUUCAUCAUAUUAAAUAAAUCAUUUACAUCCGCAUCAAGGAAACUUCAUAUAGAAUACAACUGGCCCAGCGGAUUUGAUCAUAAAUAUUUUUUUGACCCUUUUAAAAAUACUAGAUGUCGGGGAUAUUUGUUAUUUUUUAGUCUCAAUUUAUGUGACAUAAAUAAAAUGUAGAUAAUCAAUCAUAUUUUUAGUAUGCUUUGAAUAUUCUAAAUUGUUACCUAUCGUAAUUUAUACUAUUUUUUAUGUAAUUUUUAAAUAAUACAUGUUACUCUCCUUGUUCAAACUUUUGUAGUAUCGAUAGCCAAUUAUACUUUAAAAAUAAUUUAACUUUUUUAAUUAUUGAGAUUUAUAAUACUUUUUUUUUUAUUUCAAAUUAAGUAGCACUAGUAAUAAUUUCUGUAGUCAACCAAAUACUUUAUAUCCUUACAAUUUUUUAAAUUAUUAAUUAUUAUGAUUUGUAAUACCUUUUAAAGUAUUUUUUUGAAAUAUAUAACAAAUUAUUUUUUUAGACACUUUAAACUGUCAACUAGUAUAAUUUGUAAUGAUUUUUAUAUGAUUUUCGAAAAAUACAUGUUACUCUCCUUGUCUUAACUUUUGUGGCAUUGAUAUUCAAUUAUAUUUUUAACUAUUCUAAUUUAAAUGGCAUUGAUAUAAUUUUGAGAGUUGAUUAAAUAUUUUAUAUCUCUUAAAUUUGUUAAUUAUUAUGAUCUAUAGUAUUUUUACGUAUUUUUAAAAAUAUAUAGUAGUUUUUUUAGAUAUUUUAAUUUGUUAAAUGUUGUAAUUUAUAAUAAAUUUUAUGUAAAUUUUAAUAAUAUAUGUUACUCUCCUUGUUCCAAAUUUUGUGGCAUUGAUUGUCAAUUAUAUUUUAUAAAUAAUUUAAGUUUUUAAUUACUGUGAUCUAUAAUAUUUUUUCUUCUAUUUCAAUUUAAGUGGAAAUGAUAAAAUUUUAAAAAUCAGCCAAAUAUUUAUAUUUUUUAAAUUUUUAAUUUAUUAAUUAUUGUGAUUUACAGAUUUUUUUUUUUGAAAUAUAUAACCGAUUAAAAAAAUUAAGAUAAAAAAAUUAAAAUAGAUGAAAAAAUGAAGGCAGAGAAAACGACUAAUGAAGUUGUGCCAAAAAGAUAUAUCGACCUCUAAACUUUUUUAGUUGUUAAUUAUUGUGAUGUAUAGUAUUUUUUACGUAUUUUUGAGAAAUAUUUGGCAGAUUAAUUUUUUUUAGAUAUUUUAAAAUGUUAACUAUUUAUCUCUUUUAAUACUUUUUAUUAUACUCUUCUAUCCAAAAUUUUCUAGCAUUUAUAGUAAAUUAUAUUUUUUAAAUAAUUUUUUUUAUUAUUGUAAUUUAUAAUAUUUUUUCUUCUAUUUUAAUUUAAGUGGCACAAUUCUUAGAUGACCAUAAUAAUUAAUAAGGGGUGAUAUAAUAAAAUUAUGAUUGAAGCAGCGAAGUAGACAUGUAUUGAAUGAAUUAUAAUAACUAAUUAGAAGUGAUAUAACAAAAUUAAUAUAAAAAUACUUUUGAAAAAAAUUAAGUGGAUCUCAUAUAAAACGUCAAGUUAAUUUAAUAUUAAAUAUUAUUAAUUUUUUAAAACUUAGAUGACUUUAAAAUAAUUUUUUAAUAUUAAUUUUUAAUACUUAAAUGACUCAUAAUAAUUAAUUAGGGGUGAUAUAGUAAAAUUACGUCGAACCAACUAAAACAGACAUGUCAAAAAUGUUUGUUUUAUUUUUUUAUUAACUAUUAUUAAUUUUAAAUACGUAAAUGACUUAUUAUAAUUAAUUAUAGGUGAUACAUUAAAAUUACGAUUGAAGCAGCUAAAAAAAAAUCUCAAAUAAUAAUAAGUGUAACUUUGAGGAACUUAGUAGUCAUUUUGAAAACUACCAUUUUAUUAAAUAUUAUUAAUAUUAUAAUAUUUUAAUAAAAUAAUUUAUAAUAAUUAAUUAGAAAUGAUAUAAUAAAAUCACGCUUGAAGCAUCUGAAACAAUCAGAACGAUCCAAAGCUGCUCAAUAUUGUCAUUCCUAUUAUAGAGUAAGAUGGUGGCUUGGGCACAUCUUUCGUUAAAAAAAGAAAAAGUCAAACUGUGUUUUGUACAGGUGCACACAGACAUGGUGAUUAAUAAAAAACUUUCAUUAUCGAAAAAGAAAAAUCAUAAAUGAAGCUAUAUACUGCCAACUGAUUCUGGCACAAUCUCUUCGGAAUUUCCUUAGGUACAACGUUAACGCUAAAUCUGACGGACAAGUCACAGAGCCGAAAACACUCUUAUGAUUUGUCGUCGUGCUGAAGCUCAUAGCCUUCGUCCUUAAUUUCAUGAGAUCAGAAGACUAACUCUGCAAGCACCCAUACAUCACGUACUAAAAACCAUCAAAAUGCUUAAACAAUAGAAUGGAAGAGAAAAAGAAAAAGAUCAUUACCCAAAUUAUUUUCUUCCCAGAUGUCCAACCCAAAGAUAAUAAGACCAACACCUCAUGUGUUUCGUCCUCUAUCGGGCCGAGACCGUGGGUCACUUCACAAUAAAUCGCACAACAUUAACCAUAAAGCAGACAAAACAACUUUGUUAUAGUAUUGUCACAUCCCUUUUUAACCAAAAAGAUAAUAUUGUAAAGUUUAAAAAAGAUUUUAUUAUUAAGUGACAAAAGAAAAUUAUUUUGAAAAGAAUUAAUUUUGCAAUUAAUUCAGAGUCGUCACUUGACAUAAAUUGAAUGUGUCUUUUUCAAAACGGUUUGACUUUAAAAUUGAUCCGUGAAUAGAGAUUCCGAUUAAGAAAUUCUAUUGACCGAGGGGAAGGUGUUAGGCAUCUCUCGAUCCCGUGGUUCUACCACGAUCGCUUCGUGGGGUAUAUCGGCUAGUACGAACGCUAUAAAUGUAUAAACCACAUAAAACACACAAUAAUCAAACAAACAAACACAAACAAAACAAAUCCCAAAAAUGUAGUGUCCAGUCCAAUUUAUUACAGACCAAAAUAAAAAGGUACUGAAAUGUAAACCUACGGUAACCUACACUAGUCCUAAACUACACUCCAAUGCUUUACCCUAUGCCUCGGGCCUUGAUCAAGAGUCUCCUUUGCGUACAUGAUACUUCGGGAUAUUCCCCGGUGAAUAAACACAAAUACCUCGGGGCAUUCCCCGACCAAAUGAUACAUUUGAUCCAAAAAGCAAUAAUACCAAGUCAUUCAACACAUAUUUCAAGCAUCCAAUAUUCCAUAAGUCCUGAAUUUGCCUACCCGAACCUAAACUUUGCCUAUCAAUUUUAAUCCAUCAUGAUAUUAUUGCCUUUAACAACAUCAAUACUCAUUCCGAAUUAAACAAUCAUCAAUGAAUCAAAACAAUCAAUAUUCACCUUUUUGCAGUGUUCAAUCCACGCCCCCAAUUUCAUUCUCAAUCAUACGAUUACUUCAUUUCGAUACAAAAUCAACUAAUCAAGUCUCGAUAAUUAUAGAAACUCUAAUAUACUUCAAAACGCAUCUCUAAAUCACAUCAUCAACCAUAUGAAUCACACAAUUAUAGCAACCAACACACCACAAAGAUUCAAACAUGUCAAGCAACAAAUCAUUUACAUUUACGUAAAAAUUAAAGGAAGAGAAGAUAAAAUUGGACUCCAAAUGCUUUUUCAAUGGAAAUAAUUCUUUCGACUUGAAUCGCGAUCGAAAUCUCAAAUCAAACCUCAAACCACCAACUCGAUAUGCCCUCUUAUUCCAUUUUUGUACCCGAAUAAAAAAGCAAUGACCAACCUGAGUCCAACUCAAGUUAUCGACGAGAAUUAAUAACCACGUUAACCCGAACCUAACUCGGAGCACCGUUAAGAGGUAUGUGUAUUGUCGCGAUGGAUUUUGGUCGCCGGUUUGAUUUUCUCCGAUGGGAUUGCUUCAACUGGUUUCAGGUGACGGGCGACAGGACGAUUUUCCGAUGGAGUUGGCCGAAAGAGAUGGAUGAUUCCAGAGAACUAUUCGCCAGAGAAUCUAACUUAAGAUGUUGUUUUUCUCCUCUGUUUUAUCUUUUUUUUUCACUCUCUUUCUUCCAUCUCCCUCUCUUAAAUUCUCAUUGUUCAAUCUCACCCUCUCUUUUUUGUUUUCACUCUUUAGUUUUUCUUGUUCUCAACUGGGUGUGUAUUGUUUAUGUUACUUGGAGUGUGAGUGAGAGAAUCUGUGAAGGUUUAUAUGUGUUGUGAGGUAUGAGCUUGGUAGUGUAUGUGUGGGGUUUUGUUUGAAUUGUGUAUGAGUGAAUACUGUGUGGGUGUAUGUGUGAUGAUGGAAGAUAUGUGUGUGCAAGAAUAGUUUGUGUUGUUGUGUUUUUGUUGUGUGUCAAUGGUGAAUAGUGUAGAAGAGAAGAAAAAUGGAGUCCCUGCUCCCUGUGUGCCUAUGUACUGGUGGGUAUUGUGAAUGGAAAAAGACGGUCCCCCUAUUUUAGUGGGUCCCAUGAGUAUUAUGUUUAUGUGAGGUGGUGUGUAUAUUGUGAGGAAACCGUGGGGUAGGGAGUUAGGGGUAUAGGGUGUGGGGUGUG